AUGAUAAAAUGGAAACUAAAGACACAUGUACGAAAACCUCCUACAGGAAUACACAAGGAAAUAAUACAAUGGGUCAAAAUAAAUAAUGAGGAUCAUCUCCAUACCAUUUUGCAUUUCUCGACAAAUUUAAUUUGUUUGGCUAUUCUAAGUGGUUCUUUUUUGCUGGGUAAAGAGAAACUUUUCAUUUUGAAUUCUAGGGUUCAAGAAUUCUUCUAUAAUUUCAACGACUCAAUAAAAGCUUUUUUAUUCUUUUAA
rnacentral:rRNA from 1 species